UUUGACAAUUUGACAAUUUUACAAUUUUACAAUUUGACAAUUUGAUAAUCUGACAAUUUGCCUUGCGAAGUUGCCUUGAUAAUUUGCCAAAUUUACAAUUUUACAACAACUGACAUGUUUACAAACAAUUUCGAGACCAUUCGAUUUACCAACUAAUUUCCAAAACCAAUCCUUUUUUGUUUGUAUUUCCAAAAGUUUUUUUUCGUUUUUAAUGUUUCAAUUAAUUUUGUAAAUCACAAUUAAAAAAUAUAAACUUUAAUAAUAAAAACGUUUCAUCGUAGUUUAGAGUUGACCCAUGUCAAACAUAACAGUAACCGUGGUUUAGGGACUGCCCGUUGUCAAAACUUCUCGAAACUCACUAAUACUCACACACACUCGCAGCAGCCGCCGCCGUCGCUGACGGACUUGACAGUUCAUCAAUUCAGUCGUUUAGCUCUUGUUAUUUUUCUCGGCGGUCUUUAGACGACAGAAACCAGCUUAUUUUUAAAGUAGCUUUUGUAACAUUGUGUAAAUAUGUACUGCAAAACAGAUUGCUCAAACAGUUGCUGGUCCGGAAACCUUCCUCGGAAUGCUGUUCGUGUCGAAACAGACUACAGAGGAAUGCUGGUUUCUGAAUUGUACGGGGUCGUGGAAUGUAGAGGCCAGAAAAGCGGAAGCAGUGAUCAGAAGUGUGACAUACAGUGACAGAAAAGUGCACCCAACGAUCUGCAAAUGAAUGGAGCAGCUUGAGGAGGAGUGACAUUGAGUGUGAAAUUAAGUUGUAAGUUGGUGAAGUUUUAAAAUGAGGCAUGAAUAAAAAGUAAAUUGCGAAAUCAAA